UCUUACUGAGCAUACUCGGCCUAGUAUGAAAAACUUGGGGUUAAGCGUCCAUGGGUUUGAAUAGUACUGGGCUAGGUGACGUCCCGGGAAGUCCAAACUCAUAAGCU
rnacentral:rRNA from 1 species